rnacentral:rRNA from 1 species
GACGAACGCUGGCGGCGUGCCUAAUACAUGCAAGUCGAACGCUUCUUUCCUCCCGAGUGCUUGCACUCAAUUGGAAAGAGGAGUGGCGGACGGGUGAGUAACACGUGGGUAACCUACCCAUCAGAGGGGGAUAACACUUGGAAACAGGUGCUAAUACCGCAUAACAGUUUAUGCCGCAUGGCAUAAGAGUGAAAGGCGCUUUCGGGUGUCGUUGAUGGAUGGACCCGCGGUGCAUUAGCUAGUUGGUGAGGUAACGGCUCGCCAAGGCCACGAUGCAUAGCCGACCUGAGAGGGUGAUCGGCCACACUGGGACUGAGACACGGCCCAGACUCCUACGGGAGGCAGCAGUAGGGAAUCUUCGGCAAUGGACGAAAGUCUGACCGAGCAACGCCGCGUGAGUGAAGAAGGUUUUCGGAUCGUAAAACUCCGUUGUUAGAGAAGAACAAGGACGUUAGUAACUGAACGUCCCCUGACGGUAUCUAACCAGAAAGCCACGGCUAACUACGUG